rnacentral:rRNA from 1 species
GGGGGGGGGGGGGGGCGGGGGGGGCGGGGGCGGGGCGGCGGGAGGGGUGGGAGUGAUGGGCUUCGGGGCUGAUGAUUUGGUGGCUGAGUGGCGGACGGGGGAGUGCCGCGUGGGUAACCUGCCUUGGACAGGGGGGUAGCAGUUGGAAACGGCUGGUAAUAGCGCAUAAGCGCAAAGCAUCGCAUGCAUCAGUCGGUAAAGCUCCGGUGGUAUAAGAUGGACCCGGGUUGGAUUAGCUGUUUGGUGAGGUAACGGCCCACCAAGGCGACGAUACAUAGCCGACCUGAGAGGGUGACCGGCCACAUUGGGACUGAGACACGGCCCAAACUCCUACGGGAGGCAGCAGUGGGGAAUAUUGCACAAUGGGCGAAAGCCUGAUGCAGCGACGCCGCGUGAGCGAAGAAGUAUUUCGGUAUGUAAAGCUCUAUCAGCAGGGAAGAUAAUGACGGUACCUGACGAAGAAGCACCGGCUAAAUACGUG